rnacentral:rRNA from 1 species
ACUGUGUUUAACGGCCGCGGUAUUAUGACCGUGCGAAGGUAGCGCAAUAAAUUGUCUCUUAAUUAGGGACUAGUAUGAAUGGCAUCACGAGGGCUUAACUGUCUCCCCUUUAAAGUCAAUGAAAUUGAUCUCCCCGUGCAGAAGCGGGGAUAAGAAUGUAAGACGAGAAGACCCUAUGGAGCUUUAGACUUAAAGUACCUCAUGUUAAAAACCCUCUCUCUGAGAAUAAACAAAAUGAGCCUUACUGACAUGUCU